GAUGAACGCUGACAGAAUGCUUAACACAUGCAAGUCAACUUGAACUUCGGUUUGGGUGGCGGACGGGUGAGUAACGCGUAAAGAACUUGCCUCACAGCUAGGGACAACAUUUGGAAACGAAUGCUAAUACCUGAUAUUAUGAUUUUAGGGCAUCCUAGAAUUAUGAAAGAUAUAUGCGCUGUGAGAGAGCUUUGCGUCCCAUUAGCUAGUUGGAGAGGUAACGGCUCACCAAGGCGAUGAUGGGUAGCCGGCCUGAGAGGGUGAACGGCCACAAGGGGACUGAGACACGGCCCUUACUCCUACGGGAGGCAGCAGUGGGGAAUAUUGGACAAUGGACCAAGAGUCUGAUCCAGCAAUUCUGUGUGCACGAUGAAGUUUUUCGGAAUGUAAAGUGCUUUCAGUUGGGAAGAAAAAAAUGACGGUACCAACAGAAGAAGUGACGGCUAAAUACGUG
rnacentral:rRNA from 1 species